CACGUAGGGUGCGAGCGUUGUCCGGAAUUAUUGGGCGUAAAGAGUGUGUAGGCGGUGCUCCAAGUCUGUUGUGAAAUCUCCCGGCUUAACUGGGAGGGUGCGGCGGAAACUGGAAUGCUAGAGGGUGGGAGAGGUAAGCGGAAUUCCUGGUGUAGCGGUGAAAUGCGUAGAUAUCAGGAGGAACACCUGUGGUGUAGACAGCUUACUGGACCACUUCUGACGCUGAGACACGAAAGCGUGGGUAGCAAACAGG
rnacentral:rRNA from 1 species